UCGGGCGUGGUGUAUGGGACACGGCGAGCUUUCGUAAUGCCGAGUAAAGAAAACUUACAAGCUCGCAGAACGGGGUUCGACUCCCCGCGCCGGAA